GGNGNANNGGNANUGCUAUACAUGCAAGUCGAACGAGGUGCUUUUGUAGCAAUACGGGAGUAUCCUAGUGGCGAACGGGUGAGUAACGCGUUGGUGACCUGCCCCAAAGUGUGGAAUAACAGUCCGAAAGGAUUGCUAAUACCGCAUGUGGUCUCUGGGUUUAGAAACCGGUGACUAAAGGAGUAAUCCGCUUUGGGAGGGACCUGCGUCCCAUCAGCUAGUUGGUGAGGUAACGGCUCACCAAGGCUACGACGGGUAGGGGACCUGAGAGGGUGACCCCCCACAAUGGAACUGAAACACGGUCCAUACACCUACGGGUGGCGGCAGUAGGGAAUAUUGCUCAAUGGGCGAAAGCCUGAAGCAGCAACGCCGCGUGUGCGAUGAAGGUCUUCGGAUCGUAAAGCACUUUUCUGCGAGAUGAGAAAGGACAGUAUCGCAGGAAUAAGUCUCGGCUAACUACGUGCCAGCAGCCGCGGUAAAACGUAGGAGGCGAGCGUUAUCCGGAUUCACUGGGCGUAAAGCGCGUGCAGGUGGUUCGGUAAGUUGGGCGUGAAAUCUCCCGGCUCAACUGGGAGAGGUCGUCCAAUACUACCGGGCUAGAGAACAGAAGAGGAAGAUGGAAUUCCCGGUGUAGUGGUGAAAUGCGUAGAUAUCGGAAGGAACACCAGUGGCGAAGGCGAUCUUCUGGUCUGUUUCUGACACUCAGACGCGACAGCUAGGAUAGUAAACGGGAUUAGAGACCCCGGUAAUCCUAGCCGUAAACGAUGUGAACUUGGCGUUGGUGGGUUAAACUCCAUCAGUGCCGCAGCAAACGCGAUAAGUUCACCGCCUGGGGACUACGGCCGCAAGGUUAAAACUCAAAGGAAUUGACGGGGGCCCGCACAAGCAGCGGAGCGUGUGGUUUAAUUCGAUGCUACACGAAGAACCUUACCCAGGCUUGACAUACAGGUGGUAGGGAUCCGAAAGGUGACCGACCCGCAAGGGAGCCUGAACAGGUGUUGCAUGGCUGUCGUCAGCUCGUGGUCGUGAGAUGUUCGGGUUAAGUCCGCU
rnacentral:rRNA from 1 species